rnacentral:rRNA from 1 species
AUUGAACGCUGGCGGCAGGCUUAACACAUGCAAGUCGAGCGGAGAGAGGUAGCUUGCUACUGAUCUUAGCGGCGGACGGGUGAGUAAUGCUUAGGAAUCUGCCUAUUAGUGGGGGACAACAUUUCGAAAGGAAUGCUAAUACCGCAUACGUCCUACGGGAGAAAGCAGGGGAUCUUCGGACCUUGCGCUAAUAGAUGAGCCUAAGUCGGAUUAGCUAGUUGGUGGGGUAAAGGCCUACCAAGGCGACGAUCUGUAGCGGGUCUGAGAGGAUGAUCCGCCACACUGGGACUGAGACACGGCCCAGACUCCUACGGGAGGCAGCAGUGGGGAAUAUUGGGCAAUGGGCGGAAGCCUGAUCCAGCCAUGCCGCGUGUGUGAAGAAGGCCUUAUGGUUGUAAAGCACUUUAAGCGAGGAGGAGGCUACUUUAGUUAAUACCUAGGGAUAGUGGACGUUACUCGCAGAAUAAGCACCGGCUAACUCUGUGCCAGCAGCCGCCGUAACAC